rnacentral:rRNA from 1 species
GUCCUUUUGAUUGUAAUUUAAGGUCUGACCUGCCCACUGACAAAGUUGAAGGGCCGCGGUAUUUUGACCGUGCAAAGGUAGCAUAAUCAUUAGUCUUUUAAUUGGAGGCUGGAAUGAAGGGUUGGACGAGACAUAGACUGUCUCAUUAUAAAUGAAGCUAGAACUUAACUUUUGAGUGAAAAGGCUUAAAUAGGUUUAAAGGACGAGAAGACCCUAUAGAUCUUUAUAUUAAAAGUUUUAUUAAUAGUUUGGGGAGGUUAAUUUUAUUAGAAGAUUUAAUAUUUCGUUGGGGUGACGGGAAGAUAGAAUAAACUCUUUUUUACAGGGGGCACUGAUUUGUGUAUAGAUGAU